UGGGGAAUUUUGGACAAUGGGGGAAACCCUGAUCCAGCCAUCCCGCGUGUGCGAUGAAGGCAUUCGGGUUGUAAAGCACUUUUGGCAGGAAAGAAACGUCAUGGGUUAAUACCCCGUGAAACUGACGGUACCUGCAGAAUAAGCACCGGCUAACUACGUGCCAGCAGCCGCGGUAAUACGUAGGGUGCAAGCGUUAAUCGGAAUUACUGGGCGUAAAGCGUGCGCAGGCGGUUCGGAAAGAAAGAUGUGAAAUCCCAGAGCUCAACUUUGGAACUGCAUUUUUAACUACCGGGCUAGAGUGUGUCAGAGGGGGGUGGAAUUCCGCGUGUAGCAGUGAAAUGCGUAGAUAUGCGGAGGAACACCGAUAGCGAAGGCAGCCUCCUGGGAUAACACUGACGCUCAUGCACGAAAGCGUGGGGAGCAAACAGG
rnacentral:rRNA from 1 species